rnacentral:rRNA from 1 species
UACGGAGGGGGCCAGCGUUGUUCGGAAUUACUGGGCGUAAAGCGCACGUAGGCGGCGAUUUAAGUCAGAGGUGAAAGCCCGGGGCUCAACCCCGGAACAGCCUUUGAGACUGGAUUGCUUGAACAUCGGAGAGGUGAGUGGAAUUCCGAGUGUAGAGGUGAAAUUCGUAGAUAUUCGGAAGAACACCAGUGGCGAAGGCGGCUCACUGGACGAUUGUUGACGCUGAGGUGCGAAAGCGUGGGGAGCAAACAGG